GACGAACGCUGGCGGCGUGCUUAACACAUGCAAGUCGAGCGGUAAGGCCCCUUCGGGGGUACACGAGCGGCGAACGGGUGAGUAACACGUGAGCAAUCUGCCCAUCACAUCGGGAUAACUCCGGGAAACCGAAGCUAAUACCGAAUACGACCACCUCCGGCAUCGGAUGGUGGUGGAAAGUUCCGGCGGUGAUGGAUGAGCUCGCGGCCUAUCAGCUUGUUGGUGGGGUAACGGCCCACCAAGGCUUCGACGGGUAGCCGGCCUGAGAGGGUGACCGGCCACACUGGGACUGAGACACGGCCCAGACUCCUACGGGAGGCAGCAGUGGGGAAUAUUGGACAAUGGGCGAAAGCCUGAUCCAGCAACGCCGCGUGAGGGAUGACGGCCUUCGGGUUGUAAACCUCUUUCAGCAGGGACGAAGCGCAAGUGACGGGACCUGCAGAAGAAGCACCGGCCAACUACGU
rnacentral:rRNA from 1 species